UGUGCUAUGAUUAAGCCAUGGUCGUGUUUUUAAAGGUCAUUCUUUUAUUUUCUUCAACACAUCUGUCAUGGACUUUGGAGGGGGAAAAUCUUUGUUAUAAAAACGUAUCUGAAAGUGGCGAGAGUGUUUUGAAGAAGGAGUGUUGCACCAGCUUUAUGGAAAAAAAUAAUAAGUGUAUAGAAUGCUUGCCUGGAUUUCAUGGAACAAAUUGCAACAGUACAUGUCCACCGGGGAAUUACGGCUCAAGGUGUCUGAAAACAUGUCAUUGUGAUGAUGAUACAGAAUACUGCCAUCAUGUGUGUGGUUGUGUCUUACAAACACCUCUACCUGACAACAGUACAACAGAUCUCAACAGUUCGGACCCAGUACCGACACAGUCUCUGUGUUUAAUUUCUUUAGAUGCCACCUAUGGUUCAUAUACCACAGAUAUAAGUAAAUAUCAAAAUUCUCCUGUAAACUUUCUGUUUGUCGUUAUUUUUUUAAUAUUGCCGAUUCUUUAUACCAUACUAUCUUUGACGUCAUAGAGUUUCGAGAUAUUAUUUUAUGCGUCAGUGUAUCACAUUCUCGCACAUAUAUAGGACUGUGUUUAGUAGUUAUCAACAUAAAGUCAUGUAAUUUUAAAAUUAGACGCAAGUUGGAUUCUUAAGAACGUAGCGGCUUGACAGAUUUUAGGGUAGGUAUUUCAAUUAAUUUACUAUUGUACGUAUUAUUUUAUGUAUGGAUAUUAAUAAGCAACUUUAUUACAUCUAUAAUUGUUUUCAUUAAUUAUUGAUACUGCAGUUACUUUAUUCGUUACUAAAAUAUCCGGUAGUUUUUAUAGCUGUAACCAUUCUUCUAAAUAUUUUAGCUGCGACACACGUACUACCAAUGACAGAAUAUUGACAUACUGUAUGUUCCUUACACGUACAUAUAUAAGUAUAUAACACUGCAAAUUAUUUAUACGUCCUUAUAAUAUUUGUGAUUUUUCUGUUUGUUCUGAUAGAUCCGAUCCGAAAGGACGUGUUGCAGUUUCUAUUACAUAUCUGAUUACCUGGAGUAAUAGUUGUGUGUUUGCUAUUUAUUGGAGUUGUAUAUUGCAAUUAUACAUUUGGAAAGGAAGAGAAGAAACAAGGUGAAUCUAUGAUUCUUACAAACAUUUUUACUAAUACACUGUAAAUAAAGCAGCAUUAUCAGUAUAGUACAGUGUCAUUAUUGUGCGUAGUGCAGUCAUUAGCUGCUUCAAUCAACCAAUGGAAUUUUAUUACAUUUAUACGACGUGUCCUCAGAACAACCCAAACUAAACGAAGAUGUCAUCGUAAAUAUUCGAUUGAAAUAUUUUUUUUUUUUUUUUUUUUUUUGGUUACAUGAUGAUAUAUAUUUCCAGUCAGGUUUAUUUUUGUCGACUAAUACUUGUACUACCGCCGCGGUGGCCGAGAAGGUAGAGCGUUCGCCCCGCAUGCGGAAGGCCGGGGUUCGAAUCCCGGCAGCGACAGAGCUAAAUCGUUAAAACAGGUAGUGACAGUUUCAUCGCCAAACGCUCCGCAUCAGGUGUGAAUGUCACGGGUCCUCGGAGACGACCUUCACUCAAUGGCCAUUAGCGCCGAGCAUAGGCCUAAAUUUGAAGCCCUUCACUGGUCUUGGUGACGUCUCCAUAUGAGUGAAAAAUUCUCGAGCGAGACAUUAAGCAAGAUACAAUCAAUCAAUACUAGUAUUCCCUAGAUUUAUAAUGAAAGUUAAAUAGAAAUUUCAAAU